rnacentral:rRNA from 1 species
GACGAACGCUGGCGGCGUGCUUAACACAUGCAAGUCGAACGAAGAGCGACGGAAGCUUGCUUCUAUCAAUCUUAGUGGCGAACGGGUGAGUAACGCGUAAUCAACCUGCCCUUCAGAGGGGGACAACAGUUGGAAACGACUGCUAAUACCGCAUACGAUCUAAUCUCGGCAUCGAGGAUAGAUGAAAGGUAGCCUCUACAUGUAAGCUAUCACUGAAGGAGGGGAUUGCGUCUGAUUAGCUAGUUGGAGGGGUAACGGCCCACCAAGGCGAUGAUCAGUAGCCGGUCUGAGAGGAUGAACGGCCACAUUGGGACUGAGACACGGCCCAGACUCCUACGGGAGGCAGCAGUGGGGAAUCUUCCGCAAUGGACGAAAGUCUGACGGAGCAACGCCGCGUGAGUGAUGACGGCCUUCGGGUUGUAAAGCUCUGUUAAUCGGGACGAAAGGCCUUUC